CUUCAUAGGAGAUCUUUGACAAAGGAAAGUAAUGACAGAUUACUUACCUUAAUUACUUUCAGAAUUAACAAAGGCUAGAUAAAAGAUAAAAGUAGAGUUUCAAAGAAUACCAGAAUCUGAAAUAACAUAUUUCAAAAUGAAAAGAACAAUAAGAAAAUACCACGAUUGAACCUGGUCUCCCAAUUUAAGCACAAGAACCCUUCGAGUCAUGACGACUCAGUAUAAACUUAGCAAUUUGUCAAGAGCUCAGUAGAAAUCAAAAUGAGUCAACUCAAGUCGCCAGACUCAGUACUAGUUGUAAGAUCCACCAAAACUCAGUAGCAAGUCAAAUCCAAAUCGCUAGAACGCAGUAUAAACAACAUAUCCAAACAAGUCAAAAACGAGUUAAAAAGAUUUUGCAAAUGGAACUUUCAAUCUUUGAGUAACACAAUCGAUCUCAUAAGAACUUAUAGAUCUAUCCCAGAAAUAACCAAAUUACUACUAAAUUAUCCAGCCAAAAGUUGAAUCGAGGAUAGGUCAACACUCAGAGACUUCUAGAAAGUAGUUUUAUUCGCAAAAUUUCAAAGUAAAAGCAAAUCUGUAAUUUUUGGUAAAGUGAAAGAUUAGGAUUUAUACGGACACAUAGUCAAAUCUCCGAGAAAGCUCUGAUACCAUUGUUAGUCCCAGAGUGUUUCAAUAAUUAGUUGAAACGUAUAGUACAGAUUUUAAAAUUGCAUAAACGUAAAAGAAACAAAAGCAACCGAAUUGUUUUGCCCCAAAAAGGAGCCCGGAUGUUAAGUCUAAAUGGACCUACUCACUCGUUGAGCACCUACCAAGAGAUUAAGCUCAAUAUCCACUAAUUCCUACAAAGAAAUAGUAUUGAAUAUAUGAAAAAAUCAGUGAUUUCUUCAAAUUCUUUUUAGCCUUUCUAUAUCAAAUCAAUAACUAACACUCAAAGAUCUUUCAAAGAUCGCUCAAAUCAUCCUCAUUCUCACCAAGAGAAGAGAUUAUAUCACACAGAUGCAAGUUACAAAUUUCAGAGAAAAAUCUUAUCUCACAUAGAGAAAAGAACCGUCUAG
rnacentral:lncRNA from 1 species